GGGUUGUGAGGUUAAGCGACUAAGCGUACACGGUGGAUGCCCUGGCAGUCAGAGGCGAUGAAGGACGUGCUAAUCUGCGAUAAGCGUCGGUAAGGUGAUAUGAACCGUUAUAACCGGCGAUUUCCGAAUGGGGAAACCCAGUGUGUUUCGACACACUAUCAUUAACUGAAUCCAUAGGUUAAUGAGGCGAACCGGGGGAACUGAAACAUCUAAGUACCCCGAGGAAAAGAAAUCAACCGAGAUUCCCCCAGUAGCGGCGAGCGAACGGGGAGCAGCCCAGAGCCUGAAUCAGUGUGUGUGUUAGUGGAAGCGUCUGGAAAGGCGCGCGAUACAGGGUGACAGCCCCGUACACAAAAAUGCACAUACUGUGAGCUCGAUGAGUAGGGCGGGACACGUGGUAUCCUGUCUGAAUAUGGGGGGACCAUCCUCCAAGGCUAAAUACUCCUGACUGACCGAUAGUGAACCAGUACCGUGAGGGAAAGGCGAAAAGAACCCCGGCGAGGGGAGUGAAAAAGAACCUGAAACCGUGUACGUACAAGCAGUGGGAGCACGCUUCGGCGUGUGACUGCGUACCUUUUGUAUAAUGGGUCAGCGACUUAUAUUCUGUAGCAAGGUUAACCGAAUAGGGGAGCCGAAGGGAAACCGAGUCUUAACUGGGCGUUAAGUUGCAGGGUAUAGACCCGAAACCCGGUGAUCUAGCCAUGGGCAGGUUGAAGGUUGGGUAACACUAACUGGAGGACCGAACCGACUAAUGUUGAAAAAUUAGCGGAUGACUUGUGGCUGGGGGUGAAAGGCCAAUCAAACCGGGAGAUAGCUGGUUCUCCCCGAAAGCUAUUUAGGUAGCGCCUCGUGAAUUCAUCUCCGGGGGUAGAGCACUGUUUCGGCAAGGGGGUCAUCCCGACUUACCAACCCGAUGCAAACUGCGAAUACCGGAGAAUGUUAUCACGGGAGACACACGGCGGGUGCUAACGUCCGUCGUGAAGAGGGAAACAACCCAGACCGCCAGCUAAGGUCCCAAAGUCAUGGUUAAGUGGGAAACGAUGUGGGAAGGCCCAGACAGCCAGGAUGUUGGCUUAGAAGCAGCCAUCAUUUAAAGAAAGCGUAAUAGCUCACUGGUCGAGUCGGCCUGCGCGGAAGAUGUAACGGGGCUAAACCAUGCACCGAAGCUGCGGCAGCGACACUAUGUGUUGUUGGGUAGGGGAGCGUUCUGUAAGCCUGUGAAGGUGUGCUGUGAGGCAUGCUGGAGGUAUCAGAAGUGCGAAUGCUGACAUAAGUAACGAUAAAGCGGGUGAAAAGCCCGCUCGCCGGAAGACCAAGGGUUCCUGUCCAACGUUAAUCGGGGCAGGGUGAGUCGACCCCUAAGGCGAGGCCGAAAGGCGUAGUCGAUGGGAAACAGGUUAAUAUUCCUGUACUUGGUGUUACUGCGAAGGGGGGACGGAGAAGGCUAUGUUGGCCGGGCGACGGUUGUCCCGGUUUAAGCGUGUAGGCUGGUUUUCCAGGCAAAUCCGGAAAAUCAAGGCUGAGGCGUGAUGACGAGGCACUACGGUGCUGAAGCAACAAAUGCCCUGCUUCCAGGAAAAGCCUCUAAGCAUCAGGUAACAUUAAAUCGUACCCCAAACCGACACAGGUGGUCAGGUAGAGAAUACCAAGGCGCUUGAGAGAACUCGGGUGAAGGAACUAGGCAAAAUGGUGCCGUAACUUCGGGAGAAGGCACGCUGAUAUGUAGGUGAAGUCCCUCGCGGAUGGAGCUGAAAUCAGUCGAAGAUACCAGCUGGCUGCAACUGUUUAUUAAAAACACAGCACUGUGCAAACACGAAAGUGGACGUAUACGGUGUGACGCCUGCCCGGUGCCGGAAGGUUAAUUGAUGGGGUUAGCGGUAACGCGAAGCUCUUGAUCGAAGCCCCGGUAAACGGCGGCCGUAACUAUAACGGUCCUAAGGUAGCGAAAUUCCUUGUCGGGUAAGUUCCGACCUGCACGAAUGGCGUAAUGAUGGCCAGGCUGUCUCCACCCGAGACUCAGUGAAAUUGAACUCGCUGUGAAGAUGCAGUGUACCCGCGGCAAGACGGAAAGACCCCGUGAACCUUUACUAUAGCUUGACACUGAACAUUGAGCCUUGAUGUGUAGGAUAGGUGGGAGGCUUUGAAGUGUGGACGCCAGUCUGCAUGGAGCCGACCUUGAAAUACCACCCUUUAAUGUUUGAUGUUCUAACGUUGACCCGUAAUCCGGGUUGCGGACAGUGUCUGGUGGGUAGUUUGACUGGGGCGGUCUCCUCCUAAAGAGUAACGGAGGAGCACGAAGGUUGGCUAAUCCUGGUCGGACAUCAGGAGGUUAGUGCAAUGGCAUAAGCCAGCUUGACUGCGAGCGUGACGGCGCGAGCAGGUGCGAAAGCAGGUCAUAGUGAUCCGGUGGUUCUGAAUGGAAGGGCCAUCGCUCAACGGAUAAAAGGUACUCCGGGGAUAACAGGCUGAUACCGCCCAAGAGUUCAUAUCGACGGCGGUGUUUGGCACCUCGAUGUCGGCUCAUCACAUCCUGGGGCUGAAGUAGGUCCCAAGGGUAUGGCUGUUCGCCAUUUAAAGUGGUACGCGAGCUGGGUUUAGAACGUCGUGAGACAGUUCGGUCCCUAUCUGCCGUGGGCGCUGGAGAACUGAGGGGGGCUGCUCCUAGUACGAGAGGACCGGAGUGGACGCAUCACUGGUGUUCGGGUUGUCAUGCCAAUGGCACUGCCCGGUAGCUAAAUGCGGAAGAGAUAAGUGCUGAAAGCAUCUAAGCACGAAACUUGCCCCGAGAUGAGUUCUCCCUGACCCUUUAAGGGUCCUGAAGGAACGUUGAAGACGACGACGUUGAUAGGCCGGGUGUGUAAGCGCAGCGAUGCGUUGAGCUAACCGGUACUAAUGAACCGUGAGGCUUAACCUUACAACGCCGAAGCUGUU
rnacentral:rRNA from 1 species